rnacentral:rRNA from 1 species
UACAGAGGGGGCAAGCGUUAUUCGGAAUUAUUGGGCGUAAAGGGCGCGUAGGCGGCUUGGCAAGUGGAUGGUGAAAUCCCUCGGCUUAACCGAGGAACUGCCGUCCAAACUGCUUCGCUUGAGACCGGGAGAGGUGAGUGGAAUUCCCAGUGUAGCGGUGAAAUGCGUAGAUAUUGGGAGGAACACCAGUGGCGAAGGCGGCUCACUGGACCGGUACUGACGCUGAUGUGCGAAAGCGUGGGGAGCAAACAGG